GAAAUGCGAUACUUGGUGUGAAUUGCAGAACCGUGAGUCAUCAGAUUUUUGAACGCAACUGGCGCCGGCUGGCUCUCCAGUCGGCAUGCUUGUUUCAGUGUCUUUUUAUCUCAUCACCCAAAUCAUAAUGCGAGAGAUACCCUUCUCUUGUUAAACAUGAAAGCACUCUACGCUCUGCGAGCGGCUUCGUUUAUUCGAGGGUCGCACUCAAUGCAGCAGUCACAUUGCUCACAAUGUGAACUCAUUGAGAGUAGAGGCAGUGCAGGCUCGUCCUGCAAGUGCUUAGGCAAGCAAACUUUCAUUGCAUCUGAAAUCAAGCAGGACCACCCGCUGAACUUAA
rnacentral:misc_RNA from 1 species